ensembl:miRNA Mir194-2 microRNA mir-194-2
GUGGCUGCCACCCCCUGUAACAGCAACUCCAUGUGGAAGUGCCCACUAGUUCCAGUGGGGCUGCUGUUAUCUGGGGUGGAGGCUGG